rnacentral:tRNA from 1 species
GCCGAUGUAGCUCAGUGGUAGAGCAGCUGAUUCGUAAUCAGCAGGUCGUGGGUUCAAGUCCCACUAUCGGCUCCA